AACACGGUUCGUAUGUACCUGCGGAAGGAUCAUUAUCGUAGGGCUUCGGCCCUGUCGAGAUAGAACCCUUGCCUUUUUGAGUACCUCUUGUUUCCUCGGCGGGCUCGCCCGCCGAUGGACCCCCCCAAAAAACACUUUGCAGUACCUGUAAUAGUCUGAACAACAAACAAAAAUUAAAACUUUCAACAACGGAUCUCUUGGUUCUGGCAUCGAUGAAGAACGCAGCGAAAUGCGAUAAGUAGUGUGAAUUGCAGAAUUCAGUGAAUCAUCGAAUCUUUGAACGCACAUUGCGCCCUUUGGUAUUCCUUAGGGCAUGCCUGUUCGAGCGUCAUUUAAACCUUCAAGCUCAGCUUGGUGUUGGGUGACUGUCCCCCUCAAAAGGGACUCGCCUCAAAAUCAUUGGCGGCCGGUACGUUGGCUUCGAGCGCAGCAGAAACGCGAACUCGGAGACUUUGUGUCGGCUCCCAGAAGCCAUCUUUAAAUUUUGACCUCGGAUCAGGUAGGGAUACCCGCUGAACUUAAGCAUAUCAUAA
rnacentral:rRNA from 1 species